rnacentral:rRNA from 1 species
UACGUAGGGUGCAAGCGUUGUCCGGAUUCAUUGGGCGUAAAGAGCUCGUAGGCGGCUUAGUAAGUCAGGUGUGAAACCUCCAGGCUCAACCUGGAGACGCCACUUGAUACUGCUAUGGCUUGAGUUUGGUAGGGGUAAGCGGAAUUCCUGGUGUAGCGGUGAAAUGCGCAGAUAUCAGGAGGAACACCGGUGGCGAAGGCGGAUCUCUGGGCCAUUACUGACGCUGAGGAGCGAAAGCGUGGGGAGCGAACAGG